AAUGAACGCUGGCGGCGUGCUUAACACAUGCAAGUCGAGCGAGGCGAGGGGGGCAACUCCCUCAGUCGAGCGGCGGACGGGUGAGUAACACGUGGGUCACCUGCCCGGAAGUGGGGAAUACCUCGGGGAAACCCGAGCUAAUUCCGCAUGACAUCGUCGGGACGCCUGUCCUGACGAUCAAAGCGGGCCGCAAGGCCUCGCGCUACCGGAUGGGCCCGCGCCCGAUUAGCUAGUUGGCGAGGUAACGGCUCACCAAGGCGACGAUCGGUAACCGGCCUGAGAGGGCGAUCGGGUCACACCGGAACUGAGACACGGCCCGGACUCCUACGGGAGGCAGCAGUGGGGAAUCUUGCGCAAUGGGCGAAAGCCUGACGCAGCAACGCCGCGUGGAGGAUGAAGGCCCUUGGGUUGUAAACUCCUGUCGGUUGGG
rnacentral:rRNA from 1 species